rnacentral:tRNA from 1 species
AUUAGGGUGGCAGAGCCAGGCAUUAUGCACAGGACCUAAACUCCUGCUAUCAAAAGUUCAAAUCUUUUCCCUAAUC